GGGUUGUGAGGUUAAGCGACUAAGCGUACACGGUGGAUGCCCUGGCAGUCAGAGGCGAUGAAGGACGUGCUAAUCUGCGAAAAGCGUCGGUAAGGUGAUAUGAACCGUUAUAGCCGGCGAUGUCCGAAUGGGGAAACCCAGUGUGAUUCGUCACACUAUCGUUAACUGAAUACAUAGGUUAACGAGGCGAACCGGGGGAACUGAAACAUCUAAGUACCCCGAGGAAAAGAAAUCAACCGAGAUUCCCCCAGUAGCGGCGAGCGAACGGGGAGCAGCCCAGAGUCUGAAUCAGCUUGUGUGUUAGUGGAACGGUCUGGAAAGUCCGACGGUACAGGGUGAUAGUCCCGUACACCAAAAUGCACAGGUUGUGAACUCGAAGAGUAGGGCGGGACACGUGGUAUCCUGUCUGAAUAUGGGGGGACCAUCCUCCAAGGCUAAAUACUCCUGACUGACCGAUAGUGAACCAGUACCGUGAGGGAAAGGCGAAAAGAACCCCGGCGAGGGGAGUGAAAAAGAACCUGAAACCGUGUACGUACAAGCAGUGGGAGCACCUUCGGGUGUGACUGCGUACCUUUUGUAUAAUGGGUCAGCGACUUAUAUUCUGUAGCAAGGUUAACCGUAUAGGGGAGCCGCAGGGAAACCGAGUCUUAACUGGGCGUUAAGUUGCAGGGUAUAGACCCGAAACCCGGUGAUCUAGCCAUGGGCAGGUUGAAGGUUGGGUAACACUAACUGGAGGACCGAACCGACUAAUGUUGAAAAAUUAGCGGAUGACUUGUGGCUGGGGGUGAAAGGCCAAUCAAACCGGGAGAUAGCUGGUUCUCCCCGAAAGCUAUUUAGGUAGCGCCUCGUGAACUCAUCUUCGGGGGUAGAGCACUGUUUCGGCUAGGGGGUCAUCCCGACUUACCAACCCGAUGCAAACUACGAAUACCGAAGAAUGUUAUCACGGGAGACACACGGCGGGUGCUAACGUCCGUCGUGAAGAGGGAAACAACCCAGACCGCCAGCUAAGGUCCCAAAGUCAUGGUUAAGUGGGAAACGAUGUGGGAAGGCACAGACAGCCAGGAUGUUGGCUUAGAAGCAGCCAUCAUUUAAAGAAAGCGUAAUAGCUCACUGGUCGAGUCGGCCUGCGCGGAAGAUGUAACGGGGCUAAACCAUGCACCGAAGCUGCGGCAGCGACACUAUGUGUUGUUGGGUAGGGGAGCGUUCUGUAAGCCUGCGAAGGUGUGCUGUGAGGCAUGCUGGAGGUAUCAGAAGUGCGAAUGCUGACAUAAGUAACGAUAAAGCGGGUGAAAAGCCCGCUCGCCGGAAGACCAAGGGUUCCUGUCCAACGUUAAUCGGGGCAGGGUGAGUCGACCCCUAAGGCGAGGCCGAAAGGCGUAGUCGAUGGGAAACAGGUUAAUAUUCCUGUACUUGGUGUUACUGCGAAGGGGGGACGGAGAAGGCUAUGUUAGCCGGGCGACGGUUGUCCCGGUUUAAGCAUGUAGGCUGGUUGUCCAGGCAAAUCCGGAUAAUCAAGGCUGAGGUGUGAUGACGAGGCACUACGGUGCUGAAGUAACAAAUGCCCUGCUUCCAGGAAAAGCCUCUAAGCAUCAGGUAACAUCAAAUCGUACCCCAAACCGACACAGGUGGUCAGGUAGAGAAUACCAAGGCGCUUGAGAGAACUCGGGUGAAGGAACUAGGCAAAAUGGUGCCGUAACUUCGGGAGAAGGCACGCUGGUGUGUAGGUGAAGUCCCUGCGGAUGGAGCUGAGACCAGUCGAAGAUACCAGCUGGCUGCAACUGUUUAUUAAAAACACAGCACUGUGCAAACACGAAAGUGGACGUAUACGGUGUGACGCCUGCCCGGUGCCGGAAGGUUAAUUGAUGGGGUUAUCCGUAAGGAGAAGCUCUUGAUCGAAGCCCCGGUAAACGGCGGCCGUAACUAUAACGGUCCUAAGGUAGCGAAAUUCCUUGUCGGGUAAGUUCCGACCUGCACGAAUGGCGUAAUGAUGGCCAGGCUGUCUCCACCCGAGACUCAGUGAAAUUGAACUCGCUGUGAAGAUGCAGUGUACCCGCGGCAAGACGGAAAGACCCCGUGAACCUUUACUAUAGCUUGACACUGAACAUUGAGCCUUGAUGUGUAGGAUAGGUGGGAGGCUUUGAAGCGUGGACGCCAGUCUGCGUGGAGCCAACCUUGAAAUACCACCCUUUAAUGUUUGAUGUUCUAACGUUGGCCCCUUACCGGGGUUGCGGACAGUGUCUGGUGGGUAGUUUGACUGGGGCGGUCUCCUCCCAAAGCGUAACGGAGGAGCACGAAGGUUAGCUAAUCCUGGUCGGACAUCAGGAGGUUAGUGCAAUGGCAUAAGCUAGCUUGACUGCGAGCGUGACGGCGCGAGCAGGUGCGAAAGCAGGUCAUAGUGAUCCGGUGGUUCUGAAUGGAAGGGCCAUCGCUCAACGGAUAAAAGGUACUCCGGGGAUAACAGGCUGAUACCGCCCAAGAGUUCAUAUCGACGGCGGUGUUUGGCACCUCGAUGUCGGCUCAUCACAUCCUGGGGCUGAAGUAGGUCCCAAGGGUAUGGCUGUUCGCCAUUUAAAGUGGUACGCGAGCUGGGUUUAGAACGUCGUGAGACAGUUCGGUCCCUAUCUGCCGUGGGCGCUGGAGAAUUGAGGGGGGCUGCUCCUAGUACGAGAGGACCGGAGUGGACGCAUCACUGGUGUUCGGGUUGUCAUGCCAAUGGCACUGCCCGGUAGCUAAAUGCGGAAGAGAUAAGUGCUGAAAGCAUCUAAGCACGAAACUUGCCCCGAGAUGAGUUCUCCCUGAGACUUUAAGUCUCCUGAAGGAACGUUAAAGACGAUGACGUUGAUAGGCCGGGUGUGUAAGCGCAGCGAUGCGUUGAGCUAACCGGUACUAAUGAACCGUGAGGCUUAACCUUACAACGCCGAAG
rnacentral:rRNA from 1 species